rnacentral:rRNA from 1 species
GAACGAACGCUGGCGGCGUGGAUAAGACAUGCAAGUCGAACGGGAUUAUUUUUGUAGCAAUACAGAAAUAAUUUAGUGGCGAACGGGUGCGUAACACGUGGGCAAUCUGCCGAAAAGUGGGGAUAGCUCGCCGAAAGGCGAAUUAAUACCGCAUGUGGUGAGGGACGACAUCUUCCUGAAUCCAAAGCCGGGGUCAAACCUGGCGCUUUUUGAGGAGCCCGCGGCCUAUCAGCUAGUUGGGAGGUAACGGCUCACCAAGGCUAUGACGGGUAGCUGGUCUGAGAGGACGACCAGUCACACUGGAACUGAGACACGGUCCAGACACCGUACGGUGCAGC